AUAAUGAUACUUCUGAUCGUUCAGGCUGCCAACGAAAAGGACAGCGGGUGAAAUUCCCAUGA
rnacentral:ncRNA from 1 species